rnacentral:rRNA from 2 species
GGCGAACCGGGGGAACUGAAACAUCUAAGUACCCCGAGGAAAAGAAAUCAACCGAGAUUCCGAAAGUAGCGGCGAGCGAAAUUGGACUAGCCCUUAAGCUUUACACGCGUUAGACGAACGGUCUGGAAAGUCCGACGAUACAGGGUGAUAGUCCCGUAGUUGACGACGUGUGUUCAGUGAAAUCGAGUAGGGCGGGACACGUGAUAUCCUGUCUGAAUAUGGGGGGACCAUCCUCCAAGGCUAAAUACUACUGACUGACCGAUAGUGAACCAGUACCGUGAGGGAAAGGCGAAAAGAACCCCUGUGAGGGGAGUGAAAUAGAACCUGAAACCGUGUACGUACAAGCAGUAGGAGCAGGCUUUGUCCUGUGACUGCGUACCUUUUGUAUAAUGGGUCAGCGACUUAUAUUCAGUGGCAAGGUUAACCAUCUAGGGGAGCCGUAGGGAAACCGAGUCUUAACUGGGCGUUCAGUCUCUGGAUAUAGACCCGAAACCAGGUGAUCUAGCCAUGGGCAGGUUGAAGGUUGAGUAACAUCAACUGGAGGACCGAACCGACUAAUGUUGAAAAAUUAGCGGAUGACUUGUGGCUAGGGGUGAAAGGCCAAUCAAACCUGGAGAUAGCUGGUUCUCCCCGAAAGCUAUUUAGGUAGCGCCUCGGACGAAUACUACUGGGGGUAGAGCACUGUUAAGGCUAGGGGGUCAUCCCGACUUACCAACCCUUUGCAAACUCCGAAUACCAGUAAGUACUAUCCGGGAGACACACGGCGGGUGCUAACGUCCGUCGUGGAGAGGGAAACAACCCAGACCGCCAGCUAAGGUCCCAAAUUACUACUAAGUGGGAAACGAUGUGGGAAGGCUCAGACAGCCAGGAUGUUGGCUUAGAAGCAGCCAUCAUUUAAAGAAAGCGUAAUAGCUCACUGGUCGAGUCGGCCUGCGCGGAAGAUGUAACGGGGCUAAGUAGUAAACCGAAGCUGCGGCAAUGUGCUUUUGCACAUUGGGUAGGGGAGCGUUCUGUAAGCGGUUGAAGGUGUGUGGUAACGCAUGCUGGACGUAUCAGAAGUGCGAAUGCUGACAUGAGUAACGAUAAAGGGGGUGAAAAACCUCCUCGCCGGAAGACCAAGGGUUCCUGUCCAACGUUAAUCGGGGCAGGGUAAGUCGACCCCUAAGGCGAGGCCGAAAGGCGUAGUCGAUGGGAAACGGGUUAAUAUUCCCGUACUUCUUACAAUUGCGAUGGGGGGACGGAGAAGGCUAGGUGGGCCUGGCGACGGUUGUCCAGGUUCAAGUGCGUAGGCUUAAGAGUUAGGUAAAUCCGGCUCUUUUUAAGGCUGAGACACGACGUCGAGCAUCUACGGAUGUGAAGUCAUUGAUGCCAUGCUUCCAGGAAAAGCCUCUAAGCUUCAGAUUGUAAGGAAUCGUACCCCAAACCGACACAGGUGGUCGGGUAGAGAAUACCAAGGCGCUUGAGAGAACUCGGGUGAAGGAACUAGGCAAAAUGGUACCGUAACUUCGGGAGAAGGUACGCUCUCGACGGUGAAGUCCCUCGCGGAUGGAGCUAUUGAGAGUCGCAGAUACCAGGUGGCUGCAACUGUUUAUUAAAAACACAGCACUGUGCAAAAUCGUAAGAUGACGUAUACGGUGUGACGCCUGCCCGGUGCCGGAAGGUUAAUUGAUGGGGUUAGACUUCGGUCGAAGCUCUUGAUCGAAGCCCCGGUAAACGGCGGCCGUAACUAUAACGGUCCUAAGGUAGCGAAAUUCCUUGUCGGGUAAGUUCCGACCUGCACGAAUGGCGUAAUGAUGGCCACGCUGUCUCCACCCGAGACUCAGUGAAAUUGAAAUCGCUGUGAAGAUGCAGUGUACCCGCGGCUAGACGGAAAGACCCCGUGAACCUUUACUACAGCUUGGCACUGAACAUUGACCCUACAUGUGUAGGAUAGGUGGGAGGCUUUGAAGCACGUACGCCAGUAUGUGUGGAGCCGUCCUUGAAAUACCACCCUUGUAGUGUUGAUGUUCUAACGUCGACCCCUUAUCGGGGUUGCGGACAGUGCCUGGUGGGUAGUUUGACUGGGGCGGUCUCCUCCCAAAGAGUAACGGAGGAGCACGAAGGUGGGCUAAUCACGGUUGGACAUCGUGAGGUUAGUGCAAUGGCAUAAGCCCGCUUGACUGCGAGAAUGACAAUUCGAGCAGGUGCGAAAGCAGGUCAUAGUGAUCCGGUGGUUCUGAAUGGAAGGGCCAUCGCUCAACGGAUAAAAGGUACUCCGGGGAUAACAGGCUGAUACCGCCCAAGAGUUCAUAUCGACGGCGGUGUUUGGCACCUCGAUGUCGGCUCAUCACAUCCUGGGGCUGAAGUCGGUCCCAAGGGUAUGGCUGUUCGCCAUUUAAAGUGGUACGCGAGCUGGGUUUAGAACGUCGUGAGACAGUUCGGUCCCUAUCUGCCGUGGGCGUUGGAAGAUUGAAGGGGGCUGCUCCUAGUACGAGAGGACCGGAGUGGACGAACCUCUGGUGUUCGGGUUGUGUCGCCAGACGCAUUGCCCGGUAGCUAAGUUCGGAAUCGAUAACCGCUGAAAGCAUCUAAGCGGGAAGCGAGCCCUGAGAUGAGUCUUCCCUGAUACUUUAAGUAUCCUAAAGGGUUGUCGGAGACUACGACGUUGAUAGGUCAGGUGUGUAAGUGCUGUGAGGCAUUGAGCUAACUGAUACUAAUUGCCCGUGAGGCUUAACCAUACAACACCCAAGGGGUUU